ACGGUCUUCAUAAAGUGAAAAGCUGUGAAUUACAAAUUCCGCAGAAAUCUGUAUCCAACCGACGAAAUGGACAACUGUGUGGACAUAUCAAGUUCGUCCGAUGAUACGGAACCGAUGACGAUCUCCAGGCCCAAGCGGGCGCGGUCAGCGAACAACAACAAAUCGGAGGGCGAGAAACAGGAGGACAACGCACCGAUGGCUUUGAGAAAGCAGCCACCACGACGAGGGCGCCAGAGCCGGGACAAGCUGUUCGACGAGAACUCCAAAUUUAUGGAAAACUUUGACCCGGAAAAGUCCAGGCGCGAGCGGCGGAAGAACCAGCGAGUGUGGAACAGUUUCGAGCAAAACAAUGCGACUUCGCAAAACGAAAAAGGUGCGGCACGUAGUGGCGGUAAGGAUUUGUGCGACUGCUUGGAUGAAACGUGCGCCGGUUGCCAUUUCCCCUGCGAAAACUGCCGCAGCCAGAAGUGUGGUCCGGUCUGCCGCAAGAACAGGAAGUGGCAGUAUGAGGAGAUUAGCUGCGAUGCGAAAUAACAGCACAGAAGACGGAAGUCCUUAACGGGCAGGCAUGACCAAAGAGGUCGUUACGCCAACAAGAAGAAUAAGAAGACGUUGUCGUGUAGAUUUGGUUUAUUUCUUGUCUGUAUAGCUUUGUAUCUGCUUUAUAGUACAUCUCAUCGAAUACUGAAACAGCUGAGUUUGGAGCUAGUGGUAAUAUAGUAAGGAGUGGCAAUAGAUAAACCCAGACGGGUCGAAUAGUCUACCGAUGGAGAAUUCUUCGAAACUCGAUCACAUUUUUACUUUCUAGGGGAGGUGUGCGGGUGUGUAUGUACACACAUAAAUAAUCUAUCGUUAGUGAGGAGCAACUCCACCGCAACAGAUGAUCGCUUUUAUCCACCAAACGAGCGUGCCAUAUGUGUGUUUCCUCGAGAUUCUUUGGUUUUACGAUGGGCAGCAAGUAUGUACAAGAUCGGGUUGGGAAAACGCAAGGCCGAAUCGGGGAAAACCGUUGUCCAAUACACGAAGCUCUGGCUCGUCGAGACUCGGACGUAUAUUGGACAACGAUUUGCAUUGGGGUUGGGACGUUCUAUGUACAAAAAAGAUACCAAACAGAACACGUUGGACACCGACAAGGACAUUUUGGUACGAGCUUGUAAAAGAUGCUAGUAGGGUUUCAGAUUGUAUAGAUCAGUAGUGUCUUUCAUUAAAAAGUAUCGUACAAAUAGUUCUGUAACUCGCUGCAAUAUUGAUGGAUUCGACAAUGUGGGUCGUUCUGGCAGAGAAAUUAGGAAAGGAGUUCUUUGGCCCACAUAUGUUCAUCUGUUGACUGGGUUUUGGUUAAGAAAUGAACUUGUAAAGAGUGUUUCGACAUUCCAGAGAAAGGUUCGUUUAAAACUUGGUCAUAGACAAUAAUUUCUAUCUAAAGGGUACGAGUAAAGCACACAGAAGGAUUGUAGAUAUUCACCGCAAUAAUGUAUAAUGAAGGUAUCCGAGGUUUGCUCCGAGACCGUUCCUACUCUUCGGGUGAUUAGGCUAUGCAUAGUUGAGUGCCGGUCGGUUGAUAAAUAAUUUCUUAUAACGGUUGUGGUGCUUUUGGUGCAGUUUUUUUGAGGGUUUGUUUUUGGGUUUUUGAAUAUAGAGUAGAUGUGCUUCUGGUUUGAGAACAAUUCCAUAGGUU